GCCAGGGAACUUGUGACAGUGUUCCCUUCUUUUGAGCUAGUUCCUUACCUUCUUCAAUUUCCUCCCUAAUAGGUUGAAAUUGCUUAGGCAUAAAGCUUCCAAGAGUCAACGGAUUCAAUUGUUGCUGGAUUCCCGACUCCGGUGUCACUAUCGCACCAUUUUGCACAGCAUCAUCUUCCGGGUUAUGGUAUACUGUAGGUGCGGAUCCCAUUCCCGUUAACCAGCGAUUGGAUGGUUUAUUGCUGGUGUGACUUCCAAAGCUUCAUCUCCUCUAGAUUCUGGUUCCGAUUGCUGCUUCUUCCUCGGUGUCACUAUCGCACCAUUUUGCACAACAUCAUCUUCCGGGUUAUGGUAUACUGUAGGUGCGGAUCCCAUUCCCGUUAACCAGCGAUUGGAUGGUUUAUUGCUGGUGUGACUUCCAAAGCUUCAUCUCCUCUAGAUUCUGGUUCCGAUUGCUGCUUCUUCCUCGUCUUAGCCAUGGCAGAGGCGUCGGUUUCCACCCUGCUAACUUGCGCCCGCUAUGCUAGAGAGAGAAAGUCUUUGCUUGAAUUUUCC
rnacentral:lncRNA from 1 species